rnacentral:lncRNA from 1 species
UUUGGAAUAAUUUGUUUCUAACAAAUCUGGGUUUUUGUUUAUUUAUUCAUUUCCUUUGCAAGCAAGUUUUGAGACACUGUGCUAAGAAUUAAAUAUUCAGAUUAGUAAAAACAGCAAUAACCUUUGCCUUCAUAAAUAAAUAAUAUCUUCUGUUAAUUAUUUCCCUGAUUUUUUGCCUAGAAAUUUUUGAUGAAUGUUUUGAAGCUAAGAGGAAAGAGCCAAUAAGCAAGGUCUUCAAAUAAAUUUCCAAGCCGUAAAAUUUGUAUUAGCUUCAUUCAAAUCCUCCAUACCCAUCAUAAAAUCUAGUCUUUCUCAAAAAUAGUCUACAGGAUUUUAAUAGUAUUUUUAAAAUGAAUAAGACAAUAAUGGAAUUGAAGUUCCAUAGUUGAAUAUAUGAAGACAUUUCUUUACUACUUGAAUCCUUUACAAAUCUGUUCAAAUCUUAUAUGACAUAAAAUCCUUUGUCCUGGAGCAUCUUAUGAAACAGUACUAUGUACAAUCUGCUUUAAAAAAUAGUCUCCUAGGAAGUAUCAUACUUUAUCCUGCCCCUAGACUCUAUAUUAGUGGCCCCAAAGGCUUUGCAUGCCAUGUCUUGCUGUGGUCUUUUAAAAAUCAAUAUUAAGUCAUGGGAAAGAAUCAUUCAAAUUCUAUGUAUAAUGUGCAGAUGAUAAAAGAAAUGUGCAGUGAGAAAUUCAUUAAUUAAAUUAUGUUUCCAAACC